rnacentral:rRNA from 1 species
CCUACGGGAGGCAGCAGUGAGGAAUAUUGGUCAAUGGGCGGAAGCCUGAACCAGCCAAGUAGCGUGCAGGAUGACGGCCCUACGGGUUGUAAACUGCUUUUAUACGGGAAUAACGCGCCUUACGUGUAGGGCUUUGCAUGUACCGUAUGAAUAAGGACCGGCUAAUUCCGGGCCAGAAGCCGCGGUAAUACGGAAGGGACGGGCGUUAUCCGGAUGUGUUGGGGUUAAAGGGAACGUAGGCCGCAUUGCAAGGGUGCUGGGAAAUGGCCGGGCUCAACCCGGGCCUUGCAGCGCGAAACGGCGUGCUUGAGUCCGCGGACAGCAGGCGGAAUUCGUCGUGUAGCGGUGAAAUGCUUAGAUAUGACGAAGAACCCCGAUUGCGAAGGCAGCUUGCUGCAGCGGAACUGACGCUGAUGCUCGAAAGCGCGGGUAUCGAACAGGAUUAGAUACCCGAGUAGUC